UAAACUAUAAAAAAAUGGUUAGUGAACUAAUAAAAUUACGAAAUAUUUACAGGUCAAAAAGGGAAUCGCUCUCUUGCUGCGAUUCAUGAGUGAAAAUUCAAGAAAGUACUAUUAAAGUCAACGAUCACUCUCGAGAUACGAGGUGACUACCAUUCUUUAUCGACUUGAAGCUAGCCAGAUGACGAGUUGAUGUAGACCCUUAAAUGAUUAUACUCGGGUUGAACUUAUAAUCAUCUUUAAGGACUCUCCACAUCGACGCUACUCGCGCAGUCGAAGAGCUCCUGAUUUCCUGCUUCA